UACGGAGGAUCCAGGCGUUAUCCGGAAUCAUUGGGUUUAAAGGGUCCGUAGGCGGUCUAAUAAGUCAGUGGUGAAAGCCCAUCGCUUAACGAUGGAACGGCCAUUGAUACUGUUAGACUUGAAUUAUUGGGAAGUAACUAGAAUAUGUAGUGUAGCGGUGAAAUGCUUAGAUAUUACAUGGAAUACCAAUUGCGAAGGCAGGUUACUAUCAAUAUAUUGACGCUGAUGGAUGAAAGCGUGGGGAGCGAACAGG
rnacentral:rRNA from 1 species